UCGAAAUUGAUCGUGCGGAGAAGC
rnacentral:miRNA from 1 species